rnacentral:rRNA from 1 species
UGCGCAGGCGGUCCUUUAAGUCAGAAGUGAAAGGCAGUGGCUCAACCAUUGUAAGCUUUUGAAACUGGGGGACUUGAGUGUUGGAGAGGAAAGCGGAAUUCCUAGUGUAGCGGUGAAAUGCGUAGAUAUUAGGAGGAACACCAGUGGCGAAGGCGGCUUUCUGGACAAAUACUGACGCUGAGGAACGAAAGCGUGGGGAGCGAACAGGAUUAGAUACCCUGGUAGUCC